AGUGAACGCUGGCGGUAGGCCUAACACAUGCAAGUCGAACGGCAGCACAGGAGAGCUUGCUCUCUGGGUGGCGAGUGGCGGACGGGUGAGGAAUACAUCGGAAUCUACUCUGUCGUGGGGGAUAACGUAGGGAAACAUACGCUAAUACCGCAUACGACCUACGGGUGAAAGCAGGGGAUCUUCGGACCUUGCGCGAUUGAAUGAGCCGAUGUCGGAUUAGCUAGUUGGCGGGGUAAAGGCCCACCAAGGCGACGAUCCGUAGCUGGUCUGGGAGGGUGAUCAGCCACACUGGAACUGAGACACGGUCCAGACUCCUACGGGAGGCAGCAGUGGGGAAUAUUGGAAAAUGGGCGCAAGCCUGAUCCAGCCAUACCGCGUGGGUGAAGAAGGCCUUCGGGUUGGAAAGCCCUUUUGUUGGGAAAGAAAUCCAGCUGGCUAAUACCCGGUUGGGAUGACGGUACCCAAAGAAUAAGCACCGGCUAACUUCGUGCCAGCAGCCGCGGUAA
rnacentral:rRNA from 1 species